AAGUCGUAACAAGGUUUCCGUAGGUGAACCUGCGGAAGGAUCAUUAUCGUAGGGCUUCGGCCCCCGUCGAGAUAGAAACCCCUUGCCUUUUUUGAGACCUUUCGAUUCCUCGGCAGCCUCGGCUGCCAAUGGGGACCCCCAAAAAACACUUUGCAGUACCUGUAACAGUCUGAACAAACAAACAAAAAUUAAAA
rnacentral:misc_RNA from 1 species